AGGAUCAUUUGCAAUGGGCGAAAGCCUGACAAUGCGACGCUGCGUGGAGGAUGAAGGCCUUCGGGUCGUAAACUCCUGUCAUGGGGGAACAGGCGAGGGGACCCAACACGUCCCUUAGUUGAGUGUACUCCAAGAGGAAGGGACGGCUAACUCUGUGCCAGCAGCCGCGGUAAUACAGAGGUCCCUAGCGUUGUUCGGAUUUACUGGGCGUAAAGGGCACGUAGGCGGCGGGGCGUGUCGCGUGUGAAAUCUCCGGGCCCAACCCGGAAAGUGCGCGCGAAACUACCUCGCUGGAGUGCGGGAGAGGGGAUCGGAAUGCAGGGUGUAGCGGUGAAAUGCGUUGAUAUCCUGCAGAACACCGGAGGCGAAGGCGGAUCCCUUGAACGCUACUGACGCUAAGGUGCGAAAGCCGGGGGAGCGAACA
rnacentral:rRNA from 1 species